GGGGAUAUAGCUCAGUGGGGAAAGUGCUUGCCUGGCAUGCAAGAGGCUCUGGGUUCGAUCCUUGGCACCA
rnacentral:tRNA from 1 species